AGUGAACGCUGGCGGUAGGCCUAACACAUGCAAGUCGAACGGCAGCACAGUAAGAGCUUGCUCUUACGGGUGGCGAGUGGCGGACGGGUGAGGAAUACAUCGGAAUCUACUUUUUCGUGGGGGAUAACGUAGGGAAACUUACGCUAAUACCGCAUACGACCUACGGGUGAAAGCAGGGGAUCUUCGGACCUUGCGCGAUUGAAUGAGCCGAUGUCGGAUUAGCUAGUUGGCGGGGUAAAGGCACACCAAGGCGACGAUCCGUAGCUGGUCUGAGAGGAUGAUCAGCCACACUGGAACUGAGACACGGUCCAGACUCCUACGGGAGGCAGCAGUGGGGAAUAUUGGACAAUGGGCGCAAGCCUGAUCCAGCCAUACUGCGUGGGUGAAGAAGGCCUUCGGGUUGUAAAGCCCUUUUGUUGGGAAAGAAAAGCAGCAGGUUAAUACCCCGCUGUUCUGACGGUACCCAAAGAAUAAGCACCGGCUAACUUCGUG
rnacentral:rRNA from 1 species